GAUGAAGAACGUAGCGAAAUGCGAUAAGUAAUGUGAAUUGCAGAAUUCAGUGAAUCAUCGAAUCUUUGAACGCACAUUGCGCCCCGUGGUAUUCCGCGGGGCAUGCCUGUUCGAGCGUCAUUUCACCACUCAAGCCUCGCUUGGUAUUGGGCGACGCGGUCCGCCGCGCGCCUCAAAUCGACCGGCUGGGUCGAUCGCACCCUCAGCGUUGUGGAAACUAUUCGCUAAAGGAGUUGUGGUCGGUCACGCCGUGAAACAAACCAAUCUUUCAAUGGUUGACCUCGGAUCAGGUAGGGAUACCCGCUGAACUUAAGCAUAUCAAUAAGCGGAGGA
rnacentral:misc_RNA from 1 species